GACAGGGAGGUUUUGGAAAAGUUUAUAAAGGAGUGCUUCAAGAUAACACAAAAGUAGCUGUUAAGCGUUUAACUGAUUUUGAAAGUCCAGGAGGAGAUGCAGCUUUCCAACGUGAGGUUGAGAUGAUAAGCGUAGCUGUUCACAGGAAUCUACUACGGCUGAUAGGUUUUUGCACAACACCAUCAGAACGCCUUUUAGUUUAUCCAUUUAUGCCGAAUUUAAGUGUGGCAUAUCGUCUAAGAGAACGUAAGCCUGAGGAGCCUGUUUUAGUUUGGGCAACAA